rnacentral:rRNA from 1 species
AUACUGGUCAAUGGGCGGGAGCCUGAACCAGCCAAGUCGCGUGAGGGAAGACGGUCCUACGGAUUGUAAACCUCUUUUGCCGGGGAGCAACGGGGUCCUUGCGAGGGCCCAAUGAGAGUACCCGGAGAAAAAGCAUCGGCUAACCCCGUGCCAGCAGCCGCGGUAAUACGGAGGAUGCGAGCGUUAUCCGGAUUUAUUGGGUUUAAAGGGUGCGUAGGCGGGCUUUUAAGUCAGCGGUAAAAAUUCGGGGCUCAACCCCGUCCGGCCGUUGAAACUGGGGGCCUUGAGUGGGCGAGAAGAAGGCGGAAUGCGUGGUGUAGCGGUGAAAUGCAUAGAUAUCACGCAGAACUCCGAUUGCGAAGGCAGCAUACCGGCGCCCUACUGACGCUGAGGCACGAAAGCGUGGGUAUCGAACAGG